rnacentral:misc_RNA from 1 species
UAAUUUUUCCGGCAAUGGUUCUGUAAACUGCAUAUUUUUCUGAGUGAGGACUUAAAAAUUAAAGGCCUCUUCAGUUUCUGAAGUUGUCUUGCUUGUUAUAAAAGUGUGAAUGGCAGAAGUCUGUUUUGGAGUUGUGACUGAAACUGAUUCAUCAUCACCGUGUGAAUCAAGUUCACGGGCGGUGAGGAGGAGGAGAAUGGAGCUUCGAAAAAUAAAGGUCAUAGCUGGAGUAACGCAACCCGAAACAGAGAAUGGAAUUAAACGUCCAAAAAUGAAACUUAUUUCUGGUUCUGUUUCAAGGAUUUGUGAUAACGCUGUGGAAAGUUCUAGCACCGACGAUGAUGAAGAACAACUGAGAUUAGUAGAGACGAAAGGGUCACCGCCAACUAUUAUUUUGACUCCAUAUUUGGGUCCUUUGAAUUCUACUCUCCUUGUUCAAUCAGUGGCUUACCCAAAGUUUGGCUUCGCCUCUGUUUGUGGAAGGAGAAGAGAUAUGGAA